ensembl:snoRNA
AGCUUCCCUCCCAUGGGGCUGUGGUGGGUUAGGGUACCGGACCCUAUUCUCCCCAGCCAGGGCUGGAGGUCACGAUCAGCUGUUGAAGAGCACCUUGAGACGGCCCAGAGCUGAGCAGUCUAGUUUUCUUACCGCAGACAUGG